GCGGCAGCCGCCGGCCGAGGCGUGCGCGAGGGGGGCGGGGGGAGCGUGGCGCCUCGCUCCUGCAGCAGCGACACCUGAAACAACCUGCAAGACCCUGAAUAUUGGCUAAUUGCUCUGGCUGGAAAGGGGUAACAGUGGGGACAAAGACCUAGUGCAGAAAAUGGAAGCAUGGAAUAAAGGUGCAGACAAGGGUGUGAAGAAAGCUUCAGGCGUAUCUCACUGCAAUGCCAAAAAAUGUUCACCUGUGUUCCUGGUACUUAGUGUUGCCUUGUUACCUCCAGAAGAAGGCAAGCAGCGAAGGCCUUAUAAAUACAUAAUAAUUGAGAGCUCCUAGCAAUGUAAGGUUCAUUCAUCAGGGAUUGCCGACAACUUCCACCACACGAGAAAACUCAAGCCUGGCCAAGACUGUCCAAAGUCAGAUCUCCUAUAAAGCCCCCCAGCCUUCUAUGAAGCUGGUCUCCCUGCAAUACAACUCCUGCAGAUAGAAAGCCGUGGGUACCCUGUCUGCUGUCCCUUCAGGGUGAAUGCUCCCAUGGCUACAACAGCUUUUGCAGUUUACACCUCCCUACACCAGCGCGAGUGAAUCUGGUUCAUAGUGUGACCUUUAUAGCGACCAGAUUAUUGAUACAACUUCACAUUUUUCAUUCUGUGCAGUAUUUAUCUCAGAUCUUGUGCAGUAAUACAUUUCAUACAUGGAGAUGUAUUUACAUUUUAAUGCAUGGGAAAGGAGCACUCCAGAUAUCCAAUUGAGAGUACAUCUACAACAUUUGCUGCUUCCAUUUACAUUAAGAAAAUACUUGUUGCCUCUGAUAUAAUAUUCUUCAUAAUUAUACUUAAUGCUGAGGCCACAUAAAUCACCUUCACAGAGGAGCGAGCCUAUGUAAAACAGAGUUUGAAAAUGGCUUGAGAGAUGCAUUUUGGGCCCAAUUCUUCACUCCUUACUGAGGCAAAACUACUAUUUAGUUCAAUGGGAGUUUUUCUUUAUUAAGAAAUGCAGGAUUGCAUCCUAUAGAAGGAGGAUUAUUAAGCAACUUAACCUUUAGGGCAUUACAUACAACAGCUUAUGCAUUGAACAAAUUACAUGUAGUGUUUAGAAUGAGAGCUGGUGGAAAAUCUUAUUUUCUAGAUC